GCAAACCCUAAGGUGCCUCUGUUGCUGGGGUCACUCCUGCUUAGAUUUCCUGGUCCCACUAAACUCUCAAUCCACCUCACAUUCCACUUCUUAUGGUUCUUCUCUUCUCUCUGUUACUGUCCAACAGGUUCUUCCUGCCCACUGCAAAACAAAAUCAAUUCAUAGAGACCAUGGCAUUGCAGUAAAGAAAGAGUUUAAUUGACACGACGCCAGCCACGCCAUGUGGGAGACAGAGUUAUUACUUAAAUCAAUCUCACCAAAGAAUCAGAGGUU
rnacentral:lncRNA from 10 species